rnacentral:rRNA from 1 species
AUACGGAGGAUCCGAGCGUUAUCCGGAUUUAUUGGGUUUAAAGGGUGCGCAGGUGGCCAUUUAAGUCAGCGGUUAAAUCGUGGGGCUCAACCCCAUUCUGCCGUUGAUACUGGGUGGCUUGAUUGCGGUCGAGGUUGGCGGAAUUCGUUGUGUAGCGGUGAAAUGCAUAGAUAUGACGAAGAACACCGAUUGCGUAGGCAGCUGACCAGACCGCAAAUGACGCUCAUGCACGAAAGUGCGGGGAUCGAACAGGAUUAGAUACCCUGGUAGUCCGCACAGUAAACGAUGAAUACUUGUUUUCGGCGAUAUAAUGUCGGAGGCAAAGCGAAAGCGAUAAGUAUUCCACCUGGGGAGUACGCCGGCAACGGUGAAACUCAAAGGAAUUGACGGGG